UCUAGAAGAAAAAAGGUAAUACUUUUUAAGGAAACCUUUAUUUAUUGGCGGCCCAUUUUCUUUUCAGAGGAACUCGUCUCGUAAUCGUCACUCCUCGUUAAUUUUCACUUUUUUUUAUCUCUUAUACCGCCGUCUAAAGAUUAAAUUAUCCUUCUCUAAAAAAAAUAAUUUUAUUAAGUCAGGUAAAGGUGAGGUAUUAUAAAAAAGAGAAGAUAAGUUACUUAUAAAAUUUAUUUUUGGAUCUAUUCUUGAAAAAUUUUUUUGAAAAAGGAUUUAAUAGUAAUUUUUUAUUAUUAUUUUAAAAUGAAUUAGUAAAAUAGGUGU
rnacentral:rRNA from 1 species